AUUGAACGCUGGCGGCAGGCCUAACACAUGCAAGUCGAACGGUAGCACAGAGAGCUUGCUCUUGGGUGACGAGUGGCGGACGGGUGAGUAAUGUCUGGGAAACUGCCCGAUGGAGGGGGAUAACUACUGGAAACGGUAGCUAAUACCGCAUAACGUCUUCGGACCAAAGUGGGGGACCUUCGGGCCUCACACCAUCGGAUGUGCCCAGAUGGGAUUAGCUAGUAGGUGGGGUAACGGCUCACCUAGGCGACGAUCCCUAGCUGGUCGGAGAGGAUGACCAGCCACACUGGAACUUGGACACGGUCCAGACUCCUACGGGAGGCAGCAGUGGGGAAUAUUGCACAAUGGGCGCAAGCCUGAUGCAGCCAUGCCGCGUGUAUGAAGAAGGCCUUCGGGUUGUAAAGUACUUUCAGUGGGGAGGAAGGCGAUGGAGUUAAUAGCUUCGUCGAUUGACGUUACCCGCAGAAGAAGCACCGGCUAACUCCGUGCCAGCAGCCGCCGUAA
rnacentral:rRNA from 1 species